GGAUUGUGGCUCAGAGGUAGAGCACUUGCCUAGCACAUGCAAGGCCCUGGGUUUGAUCCUCAGCACCA
rnacentral:tRNA from 1 species